rfam:Clostridia bacterium BRH_c25 BRHa_1004839, whole genome shotgun sequence.
AGAAUCCUGCCUGAUAAGACUAAACCAAGUCAUCAGUAGCGAGUCAUGGAUAGGUGAGAGUAAUCUUGCAUAUUAAGCGUUGACAGUUAGGUAGUAGGCUUGAAAGUGAUUGAGCCCCGUUAGUCCCAAAUAGAAAGGUCGAUGAUUUCAGCGGUCCAGAAGACAAUAUCACAUUGAGCGUUAAUAGGUUAGGUGCCAGUUAAGCCUCGGGAGAACC